rnacentral:rRNA from 1 species
UAAGGAAUAUUGGUCAAUGGACGGAAGUUUGAACCAGCCAUGCCGCGUGGAGGAUGAAGGCCCUUUGGGUUGUAAACUUCUUUUAGUUGGGACGAAACACUCUUUAUCUAAAGAGCUUGACGGUACCAGAUGAAUAAGCACCGGCUAACUCCGUGCCAGCAGCCGCGGUAAUACGGAGGGUGCAAGCGUUAUCCGGAUUCACUGGGUUUAAAGGGUGCGUAGGCGGAUUUGUAAGUCCGUGGUGAAAGCUCUAAGCUUAACUUGGAGAUUGCCGUGGAUACUAUCAGUCUUGAAUGUUGUGGAGGUUAGCGGAAUAUGUCAUGUAGCGGUGGAAUGCAUAGAUAUGACAUAGAACACCAAUUGCGAAGGCAGCUGGCUACGCAACUAUUGACGCUGAGGCACGAAAGCGUGGGGAUCAAACA